AGUAACGGGUGGNCCCUCGAAAUCCUGUGGCGGGAGGAUUCAGUCUGGAGCGUCGGUCGCGCUGGUCGGAAAUUGGAAGGGCUUCCCACUAUCGGGGCCGUCCGACUGCGAGCUUCAGGCGCGCCAGACGCAUUUGUCUCCCGCUCGAAGGACGCCGCAACCGGUCGGGCAGUGCAAACGUGACGGCCUGGAAGGCGGACGACGGCAGGUGGCCGGUGGCGCGCCUCGUGCGUUUCACCGGUUGUUAGCCGGUCCGUCGGUGGCACGUCGCCCGACCGAGGUACCGAGAUGCCCUCAGGGGCGUAUCCGUCUCCUCCUCCAUUGGAAGUCGGGACUUUCCGUCGCGAGCGAAGGCAGCCGCGCGGUCGCACUAUUUCCGUAGUGGACCAGCGUCUAGUCGGCACCGUCGGCUUCGGAGGACCCGUCGGAGGUCGGAGGUUAGCGGCGAGUAGGUCGGUCACCCACCCGACCCGUCUUGAAACACGGACCAAGGAGUCUAACAUGUGCGCGAGUCAAUGGGUCUCGAAUAAGCCCAGAGGCGCAAUGAAAGCGAAGGUCGGCGCCACGCCGGCCGAGUCGGGAUCCGGCCCCGGGGUCGGCGCACCGACGACCCGUCCUGUGCUGCUUGCAGCUUGGGCGGAGUGUGAGCGUACACGUUGGGACNCGAAAGAUGGUGAACUAUGCCCGGGCAGGAAGAGGCCAGAGGAAACUCUGGUGGAG
rnacentral:rRNA from 1 species